GGGACGAGCCGGUAGGAAAAUGAGAAGAAUUAAACCGUAAGAAAAUGUAGCGUCACGCGGCCAUAUCGGCCUCUUCGGGUCCUCGGAUGUUCGUAAAGGCCACGACGAUGGUAGUUACAACUAUGGCUGCGACGCCGACGGAUUCAAACGCCUAUUUUGAUCUAAUCACAACGCACGUGCUAAAUUUCACGAGACGUUGCAAUGGAAUUGUAAUAAAAUAUUAACGUGCACACAACCGCCAAUAGUCGUGCAGUGUAGCAAGCGUGUUGAUAUCUCAUAGGCAUUCCGUUCUCAUUAUGCGACUGUAAACAUCUACUGAAAGAAAAACACAGAUAUGUAUACGUAAUUGAGUUCAGCAAUGUGUAACAGAAUUCAACUAGAGAGAGAGAGAGAGAGAGAGAGAGAGAGAGAAACUG